rnacentral:piRNA from 1 species
UAAAAAUGAGGUAUAAAUGCCACAAUGCAU